rnacentral:rRNA from 1 species
CCGGAUUUAUUGGGUUUAAAGGGAGCGUAGAUGGAUGUUUAAGUCAGAGGGGAAAGGCUACGGCUCAACCGUAGUAAGCCUUUGAAACUGGGAAACUUGAGUGCAGGAGAGGAGAGUGGAAUUCCUAGUGUAGCGGUGAAAUGCGUAGAUAUUAGGAGGAACACCAGUUGCGAAGGCGGCUCUCUGGACUGUAACUGACACUGAGGCACGAAAGCGUGGGGAGCAAACAG